CAGCAAUACUCUAUGUUUGGAUGUUAGGUAUCUAAUGUUCCAUCGUGACAGUUGACUGGUUGGUUGGGAGAGUCGUAGGAGAGGGUACUUGCCGCUGCUUGGGUAGAGACGAACGAGAGAAUGUCGACUCCGUGUCUGGUCGUGGUCCUGUGACCGAUGAAGGUCCCUGGAGUAGGUGGUCAGUGAAUCUUGAGAAAAUGAACAGAUCAAAGCCAGGACCUGUCACCAGUCUGACCUCAGGCUUCACGGGUGUCUGGACCUCAGUGUCUCAAGUUCUUAUUCUUCUCUCCCUCACUCCGGUGUCGGCGGCCAACCUCGACGUUGCCCCGACACGACCCAGAACCCAGCGAGCAUCUCAGAGUGGAGUGUGGCAACCACUGGGUUAAUGGACCUCGUUUGUACCGACAACACAGCAACAACCACCACAUGCACGUGCACAGUGACGUCAACAAGCCCUACUUCCGGUCCUUUUCAACGUGCAGCAGCAAACCGGAGACACGUACCAGCGUAUCUACUACACCGGUACAGGACUGAGCUACAAGACUGCCAGCAGUUACACAGUUCAAUGUAGCAUGUUCAGAUGGCACCAACAAGGCGACUACACAGGGUACAGUGAACAUCAUCGAGAACCAGUCACCCGUCUUCACCGUCUGGCCGUCAGCUACCGCCAGCUCCAUCAGCGCCACUGCCGCCCAGGUGGGGGACACAGUCUACACGGUGACUGCAACGGACCCAGAAAAAAAUUCCAUCACCUAUUCUAUGACCCAGGAUCCAAAUAGCGGAUACUUUCAAAUAAAUUCCGGAACUGGGGAGAUAACUGUGGCUAAAUCGCUCCUGACGCUGACGUCGACGACGGUAAAGUUGUCUAUCGUUGCCUCUGACAUCACAAAGUCUACCGGAACCUUUAUCUUAAAUGUUCCUAUCACAGAUUUGAACCAGCGGCCGUUGAUCACAAACCUGCCGGACACCGUGUCCGUGUACGAGGACAAGGCGGGUGGCUACGUGCUGAGCACGUUGACCAUCACUGACCCCGAUGGUCAGACUGUCACGACGACCUGCAGUGUCAAACCGGCCGACGAGUCUUACAAGUUUGUAUACAACACCAACAACCAGCAAAUUAAGUUGGCCUCUCUAACCACUGGGGAGACAUUGCUGGACUACGACUCGGGUACCCAUCAAUACCUCAUCACGUGUGUGGCCAGUGAUGGAUACCUCACAUCGGAGAGUGAUGUUCUCACCGUCAACGUUGAAAACGUCAACGAACCUCCUGUGUUUUCCCAGCCGAUGUACUACUGCACUUUGACAGAGUCCGAUAUUGGCGUGUCGCAAUGCAGUCUGGGGCUGAGCGCCACAGAUCCGGAAAAUCAAGCCAUGACGUACAGCCUGUUGCCUGGCAACAACAGCGAGAGGUUUACCUACUUGACCUCCACGAACAGGUUGACCUUUGCCGUGAACUAUGACGUUGACAACAGCGCCAUGCCAACUAAGGUCAUCGUCACGAUCCAGGCCAAGGACGCGCAAGGGUUGACGGGAACAUCACAGAUCACCAUCAACGUGCAGGACGCCAACGACAACACGUGCAACUUCGGCAACAACGUGCAGACAGCUUCCGUCAACCAGGGCUCAUCUCUAGGAACUCUGGGAACGUUUUACGCUACAGAUGACGAUCUGACGUCACCAAAUAACGACAUCAAGUUUGAAACUGUGUCCGGUGAUACUUCAUACCUGUAUCUGUUCUCUAAUGGACAGGUGCAGUACAGCAAGCAGAUUCCGGAGUCGGAGAGCGGGCGAACAUUUUACCUGCAGGUCAGGUGCGUGGACAAAGGUUCCCCCGCUCUCUCGGCGACAGCCACGUUCGCCCUCACCUACGUCACUACAACAAGUACCACCACCACCACGACCACCACGACCACAACCACACCAACCACAACAACGACGGCAUCGUCUUCACAUAGCAUCUGGGACGACGGCGGCUUCGUGGCGGUGUUUGCGAUCCUGAUGUUGCUGCUGGCGCUGGGUCUUGCGGCGCUGCUGGCGUAUCUGUGCUGCUGCAGCGGUGGGGGCUGCGCGAGUGGUGGGGGCUGCUUUAACGGCUGCUGUUACCCCAGUAAGGUCUUGCUUCUAGUUCUGGUCGAGUGAAAUCUGUUGUGAAUCUCGUCAUCUCACGUAGAUCAAUCAGACUAUCAAACUAUAAAUUAUUUUUAUGCUUAAUUAUUUCAUGCCCAUAUCUAACAUUGGAUUUUCAAACAUUUCUCAGGGAACGACAGUCACUGACGAGGGUUCGACCGGCAGAAAAGGAUUUUUUCAGGACUGAGAAGUCCGGGAGACCGUAUAGCAACUAUAAAGAUUUUGCAUGGAACAAUGGAGAUUCCAUUGAAGAUGGCACAUGGGGAUGGGAAUAAGGCCUCAAACUAUUCUCUGAGAAUUAACAGCUCGAGAGCUCUUCCGGCACCUAGAGACGGUUACUGAGUUAUCCUCCCUGUCCUGUACAACCACCGUGACGACAACUACAACACCUCUCACUUCAUUUCACAGAAAGACUGCUACAAAUCGUUUUGUGAUUGGGUCCCAGUCAGUUCUCUCCCCUUUUUCUAGGCACAUCAAAUUAUCUCCCUUUUUAACCCGUUCUCAUUGUGAUGCUGUUCUUGCUUAAUGGAAAAGAAAAAACAACAAAAUACAACAAUAUGAGAAACAACACAAUACAGUUCAUGUGUCAAAGUUAACCGCGUACUUUACACACAACAACCUUCACAGAGGUCUUAUUACAAUUAGUUGUGUAAAUAAUUUUACAGAUAGCUUCACUCAGUUUGUUUCAAUAUAUUGUGUACACAUUGUGAUUCCUUUGAUAAUUUCUAUAACUGGUAAAUAACAAUAAAUUAUUACUAUUCUGCUUUGUUUAGUAAUCUUCCUCGGGUGCGUGGACAUAGUAAAACAUUUGUUACUUGUCAUCAGAUGAGAGAUCCAGACUAAGGUAGCUUCGGAAA
rnacentral:misc_RNA from 1 species